AUCAUACAUAGCACCCAACACCUCCUGUAGCCUCCUUCUGUCCAUUUUUGUUUGUUUUUGUUUUCAUUUAAGUGAUUUUUGUUUUUUCCGUUAUAGUUGGUUUACAGUGUUCUGUCCAUUUUCUGCUCUGCAGCAAAGUGCCCCAGUCACACGUACGUUCUUUUUCUCACAUUAUCCUCCAUCGGGCUCCAUCGUGAGUGACUAGACAGAGUUCCCAGGGCUGUACAGCAGGAUCUCACUGCUUCUCCAUUCCAAAGGCAAUAGUUUGCACCGAUUAACCCCAGAGUCCCAGUCCAUCCCACUCCCUCCCACUCCCCCUUGGCAACCACAAGUCUCUUCUCCGAGUCCAUGAGUUUCUUUUCUGGGGAAAGGUUCAUGUGUGCUGUAUAUUAGAUUCCAGAUAUGAUAUUUUUUUUCCUUUUUUGGCCACUCCGCAUCAUAUGGAGUUCCCAGUCCAGGGAUCAGAUCUGAGCCAUAGUUGUGACCUAAGCCCCAGCUCUGGCAACCCCGGAUCCUCAACCCACUGUGCCGGGCCGGAGAUCGAACCUGUGUCCCAGUGCUCACAAGACUCCUUGGAUCCUGGUGCACCACAGUGGGAACUCCUUCUUCUGUCCGUUUUUAUAUGAGAUCUGCUCCAUGGGAGGGGCAAUUUUUGUUCACUUUUUUAAAUUGUUGCUGAUUAUUUUUAUUAUAGUCAAUUACAAUCUUCUGUCAAUUCCUGCUGUACAGCAGUGUGACCCAGUCAUACAUGUACAUACAUUCUUUUUCUCUUACUGUCUUCCAUCAUGAAAUGAACUUUGUGUUAGACUAACAACAAGUUGAUUGGCUGAGCAAUUGACUAAAUACGCGAUAGGAGACUCAGAAUACACACUGAUGUAUGUUCUGUCAAUCUAUAAAUAUGCCGUCAUAGUUGACUGCAUAACUGUUAAGUUACAGAAGGCUGCUGGUACACGUGCCAAAACAUGUGGACUAUCAUGAAAGGGGAUUGGAGGGAACAUCUAGAGCCAAACACAAUUUCGACUUGGUGAAGGUGACAUUUCUGGCCGUGCUAUGAAAUCACUCGUCCCUCUUCAUUUACUGCCACAUGCAGUGCUCGGGCUCCAAAUUUCUUUUCAAAAAGGAUGGUUUCUAACGUGAGGGAUGCUUUGGGGGAGGCAGAGGAGACUCAUCCAGACAAUCCCUUAAAAAGGCAGGGAAGUCCACUCUCCCUGUAGCGGAAUGAGCCGCGAAGUGGGAUUUCGUUCAUUUCCCGUGACGCUUGGAUGAGACGGUCUGCUUGGCUUUCAACACAUCGGUGGGUUUCUUCACUUCUUGGUUGGAUUCAUAGGUCAGCCCUGUUCUCCUUCUGGAGGGUAAGCUUUUCAAAUUCUGGGUUAAUGUUCUCAAGAAAGGGUCUUUCUCACAAUUCCAAGCAGGCUUUCCAACAGCAGGUGGCAGGCUUAACUUUGAACCAGUCUUCUCCUCCCUUGAAACUCUCUUUCCCAUUAUGUGAACCUCAAGCACAUGGUCUUUAGCCAGAAUGGAUGGGGUUUUUGGUUGGUGUUCAGGACUGUCUUUGUUUUGUUUGUUUACACUGUGAAUAGGCCUUGAGCAGUGCCAUCACCCGACCCUGGGGUUUGGGUGUCUUCUUAAUUGUUAGAGAAUAGAAUUAUGUGAUUUGCCAUUUUUAGUUUGACUUCAUAAGACUUCUAACAUGUAUUAUUGUUGAAUAGUCUAUCUUGGAGUAUAUUUCUUAUAUUCUAUUCUCUAAAUUUUGAUAAACUUUAAAAUGUGUCGUGUUGCUUACUGGAUGACACUGAUAAAUAACACUUUAUUUACCAUUUUUCCCUUUUGUAUGCUCUAGAUAAAUUUAAAAGUAGGAGAGAAAGACCAUCGGAACUGUAAGCUUCUUUAGACCUAGAAGAUUUGGAGGAUAGAUAGGGUGAGCUUUGAGAAUUUAAAAAAAAAACCACCGUAUUCCCAUGUUCUAAUCUAAAUAUAGACUAAAAUUUAUAAAAGAUAAUAACUGGACUUCCCGUCAUGGCGCAGCAGAAAUGAAUCUGACAAGGAACCCUGAGGUUGCUGGUUCGAUCCCUGGCCUCGCUCGGUGGGUUAAGGAUCUGGCGUUGCCGUGAGCUGUGGUGUGGGUUGCAGAUGCGGCUCGGAUCCCACAUUGCUGUGGCUGUGGUGUAGGCCGGCAGCUUCAGCUCUGAUGUGACCCCUAGCCUGGGAACCUCCAUAUGCCUCAGGUGAGGCCCUAAAAAAUAAAAAUAAAUUAAAAAAAUAAAAGAUAAUAACCCAUUGGAUUUGGGUGUUAAAACUAACCAAGCUAAACCCUUGCCUCACUGUAAUUGUUAAUCUUCUUAUUCAUAAAAGUAGUUAUGAACAUUUAGUGGUUUAUGAAAUAUAAAUUUGUGUGUUCUAUAAAUACUUCAUUUUAUUGGAGUAUAUUUGGCUUACAAUGGUGUGUUAAUUUCAGGUGUUCAGCAAAGUGAAUCAGUUAUACAUAUAUAGUGUGUGUGUAUAUAUAUAUGAAUGCUCAUAUGAAUGCUUUAUUUUAUAUUGAGGGUAAGAGUCAGCUAAACCUGUACAAGCAAUCUUUUUUCCUACUUUGCUAUAUAUAUACCCUGGCAUUUUAGGCAGUGCCAAAAUAUACUUCAUAGAUGGAGUUGUUUUUAAUUUAUUUAAAAAAGAAGAAACCCAAGUAUCAAACAAAAACCUACUUCGCUUUAUAAAUUCCACCCUUCUCUUUCCCUAAGGGCUAACCACCUGGUGAAACACUAUUAUUAUAACUUGGCAGGUGGGUUCCCUGUUAAAAUUAGACAUCUGUAAUUAAAUAGUUAGAUAGUCGAAUCAUUCCCUUGAAAUUUAUAUAUUUAUAGCUCUCAGAAACCUGGUCAUCGUUUCUUAUACCUAAUAAAUUUUUGAAAAGCUACUUUUUGUGGAGUUCCCACUGUGGUGCCAUGGAUUAAGAAUCUGACUGCAGCAACUCUGGUUGCUGUAGAGGCACCAGUUGGAUCCCCGGCUCAGCACAGUGGGAUAAAGGAGCUGAUGUUGCCAUAGGUCACAGCUGCUGCUCAGAUUCAAUCCCUGGCCUGAGAACUUCCAUGUGCCAUGGAUACGGCCAUAAAAUUAAUACAAAAUAAAAUAAAAGCUAUGCUUUUGGUCACUAACUAGUUGUGUCCAGCCACAUGUUCAGUCAAAGAAUGGUAACAUUCUAAGUAUGGCCUUUUUUCCUAAUUUGUUUCUAAAUGAUAGCCAAAGCAUGUUAAACUCCUAAGAAGGUCAGAUUCUAAAACGCGUGUCCUUGGAGCAAAGAUGCAUGGUCAUUUACAUUCUAAAAAAAAAAAAUCCUAAACGUUGAAAACAAUCAUUGGCUACAGCGGCCCUGUGCUAAUAUAAAAACACCUUCUUGGAGAUACCAGGCCUUUUCCUGCCUUGGGGCCCUUGUUCAGAAUUGUUCCUCUCUGCGAUGUUCUCUUAGUCCAGGUGUGCCCCCAGUUCUCCUUCUCCUCCUUCAAGAAGCUGCUCAAAUGUCACACCCGCAAUGUGGCUUUCCCUGACCACCUUCUGAAAACUAACCUUCCUCUUCACUUUCUUGGAUUCUUCGAAGAAAUGACCAUAUGUACCUGUCGAGUUUGUUUUUCAUCUUUCCCUACUUGGACCUUCAGUCGCUGAGCCCCAGUUCCAUUUAGAGUCUUGGUCCAGUGUCACAUCCCCAGUGCCUGGCAGAAACUAAGGAGAAGGCACUCAGGGGGCAUUUCUGGGGUCAAGGAUCGAAUCAAUUAAUCAAUGCCGAGGACACCUAUCCUCGACCCUUUUUUAGAUAUCUAAGUUGUAUAAUUGAAGAACUUGCUCGAAACUGACAUACUGGUGAGCUGCUGCUGUGAAUUCUUUGCCAUGUAUCUUUUUUGCCCUGUUCUUCAGUGAUUUAGACCUUUGGUAGAAAUGGCUGUAUCAUCCUGAGUUGAUAGAGGAAACAGUGUAUUUCCCCUGCAAUUUAUUUAUGGCAUCAUUGCUCCGUUACCCAAGUUAAGGUGGCAUAAGGCAAACAAAGCUGCUCCACCAAGGCCACAGUGAAAUGGUGGAUUGGGUUUUGUUUGCUUUUUUGUUUGAUUUACACACACACACACACACACACACACACACACACACACUGCAAAAACAUGCCAAAUAAUCAAGUGGAGAUUUUCUCACAAUCAUGUAGUCUCCAGAAGGGCAGGCAUUUUCAUCUUUUUUGUUCACCGCUGGAUCCCUAGCACCUGAGAGGGUGUCUGGAACUUGGCUUAACAUCACUCGAUCAAUACAUGUUGAGUAAGUAAAUAAACGGAGAGAUUGUUUUAAAUUGCAUCUGUACAUGGGCUUAUUGUUAGCAUGUCAAUAAAGAGAACGUGCAAUUGAAAUCACUUGAUAGCACUUCCACGUAGGUUUUCAGGAUUGAUGUCCUCUCUUUCCUUCCACAGAGCCCCUUCCCAGAAGGCUGCGGAUCGUCGUAGCUGCUGGAAUGUGUAGGUGCC
rnacentral:lncRNA from 1 species